UAACGAUGCGGUGCUGCAAUUUUAAAAAAUACAUAAAAAAUGGAAAUUGAUAGUGAGGAAGAGAUAAUGUGUACGCCACCGGAGAUAACAGAAGCUGCAAAAAUCACUUCCCUGAAUUUAUUGCCUGAGAAAUCCCGAAAUGUUUACGUAUCUGUGUACAACACCUUUAUGGACUGGAGGGCAAGCAAGAAUAUUAGUUCAUUCUCAGAGUCAGUUUUGCUGGUAUAUUUUACAGAAUUAGCUGCAAAAUAUAAGCCAUCCACAUUAUGAACACAUUACUCUAUGCUUAGGAGUACGCUUAAUAUAAAUCAAGAAGUCAAUAUAGAAAAAUAUAUAAAACUGCGUUCACUUUUAAAACGGAGGUCUGAAGGCUUUUAUCCGAAGAAAGCAUGUUAUUGAAGCAUGUGAUAAAAAAUAUCUUGCAAUCAAGCCUUUUUUGAAUACAAUGAAAAAAAAACAAUGUGUACUUAUAUACAUAGCAAAAGCUAAUAGGGGCCAACUCAGGCAACAUUGAAAUGCAGCCUGUUCUACUGCUAGCUCCUCAUAAAUAAACAAAAUUAGGUACAUCUUAAUACAAUUAAAAAACUUGUUUAAAUAAUAUUAAUGAAAUAUAAUUCUUUGUUAUGAGGUUACAAUGAUAAUGGAAAUAAUGGGUGCAUGCCGGGCAAAUGAAAUGUAUAACAUGAAAAUGGAAGACAUAAAAGACCUUGGAUCAACCUUUUUGGUAAAUGUGCCCAAUACCAAAACAAAAAUCAAUAGAAAAUUUACUAUUACUGAUAAUUUUUAUCAGAUUCUUAAAAAAUACAUCGAUCUCCGUCCGGCAUAUGUAACUUCUCAGGCGUUUUUUAUGAAUUACCAAAAUGACAAGUGCACUUCACAAAGGAUCGGUAUUAACAAAUUCACAAAAAUGGGAAGACAAAUAGCUGAGUUUUUGAAACUGUCAAAUCCCGAGAAAUAUUCCGGACAUAGUUUCCGCAAAUAGUCUGCAACUUUACUCGUCGAUGCAGGUGGAGACAUAACAACACUAAAGAGACACGAGGGUUGGAAAUCCACAUCGGUCGGGGAGGGCUACAUUGAUGAAUCAAUUAAAAAUAAAAUGGAUACAGCUCAGAAAAUAUCGAAUUCAAUACAAGAGACUACUAUACGUAACUACCAAACUGAAAAUAUCAAUCAGAUUAGUUCUAUAAGUAAAGAAAAUAUUAAUUUAAAUAUAAACUCCCCACCUUCGUUCAAUAUUAGUCAUUGCUCAAAUACAAAUAUUACAAUUAAUAUAAAUAAAUAAGUUAAAUAGUUUUAUAAUUUAUAACAAAUAAUUACUAUCACAAGUAUUUUUGAUUUUUUGUUUUGUUAAUGUCAAGUAACGAUAAAUAAAGUUCUUUUCGUAUGA